AACAAAGUCGGAAAGCAGACUAAAACCGAGGUCUGAAGUGUUGCCUCGGUUUGUAAGUACUGUUAGAAAACUUAAAUACCGAAGAAGCCUGGAUACUAAAAUAAGCUUUGGAGCCGCUUUUUUUUGGUGAACACGAGUGAGGCUGGACGCUGAAUACACCUACAACGCGAAGGUGUCACCACUUCGUCCACCACAUGGUCCACAAUCACAGAGAUGUCGUCCACGAUCGCUGAGACAUGGUCCAUGAUCGGAGAGACACUGUUGAGGAUGAGGGAGACAUCGUCCACGAUCAGAGACGCUGUCCAUGAUCGCAGAGACCUUGUCAAAGAUGAGAGAGACGUUGUCCGUGAUCAGAGACAUUGUCCCAUGCUUCGUAGAGACCUUGCGAUAGAAUCGGCGGAGACGGGGGUCACCGAUUUGACGGCAUUGCCCGCGAUCGUGGAGACAUUGUCGAUGAUCACAGAGACAGCGUCUAUGAUCUCAGAGACAUCGUCCACGAUCACAAAGGCAUUGUCCACGAUCACAGAGACUUUGUCCAUAAUCUCAGAGACACUGUCCGCGAUCACAGAGACGUAGUCCACGAUCGCAGAGAAUCUUCAUACAAUGAAGAAGUUCUUUGAGACCAGGACAGAGGCCUCCGGGUGUCAUCACUUGGUCCACGGUCGCCGAGACAUCGUCCACAGUCGGAGAGACAAUGUUGAGGAUGAGGGAGACAUCGUCCACGAUCAGAGACGCUGUCCAUGAUCGCAGAGACCUUGUCAAAGAUGAGAGAGACGUUGUCCGUGAUCAGAGACAUUGUCCCAUGCUUCGUAGAGACCUUGCGAUAGAAUCGGCGGAGACGGGGGUCACCGAUUUGACGGCAUUGCCCGCGAUCGUGGAGACGUUGUCGAUGAUCACAGAGACAGCGUCUAUGAUCUCAGAGACAUCGUCCAUGAUCACAAAGGCAUUGUCCACGAUCACAGAGACUUUGUCCAUAAUCUCAGAGACACUGUCCGCGAUCACAGAGACGUAGUCCACGAUCGCAGAGAAUCUUCAUACAAUGAAGAAGUUCUUUGAGACCAGGACAGAGGCCUCCGGGUGUCAUCACUUGGUCCACGGUCGCCGAGACAUCGUCCACAGUCGGAGAGACAAUGUUGAGGAUGAGGGAGACAUCGUCCACGAUCAGAGACGCUGUCCAUGAUCGCAGAGACCUUGUCAAAGAUGAGAGAGACGUUGUCCGUGAUCAGAGACAUUGUCCCAUGCUUCGUAGAGACCUUGCGAUAGAAUCGGCGGAGACGGGGGUCACCGAUUUGACGGCAUUGCCCGCGAUCGUGGAGACGUUGUCGAUGAUCACAGAGACAGCGUCUAUGAUCUCAGAGACAUCGUCCACGAUCACAAAGGCAUUGUCCACGAUCACAGAGACUUUGUCCAUAAUCUCAGAGACACUGUCCGCGAUCACAGAGACGUAGUCCACGAUCGCAGAGAAUCUUCAUACAAUGAAGAAGUUCUUUGAGACUAGGACAGAGGCCUCCAGGUGUCAUCACUUGGUCCACGGUCGCCGAGACAUCGUCCACAGUCGGAGAGACAAUGUUGAGGAUGAGGGAGACAUCGUCCACGAUCAGAGACGCUGUCCAUGAUCGCAGAGACCUUGUCAAAGAUGAGAGAGACGUUGUCCGUGAUCAGAGACAUUGUCCCAUGCUUCGUAGAGACCUUGCGAUAGAAUCGGCGGAGACGGGGGUCACCGAUUUGACGGCAUUGCCCGCGAUCGUGGAGACGUUGUCGAUGAUCACAGAGACAGCGUCUAUGAUCUCAGAGACAUCGUCCACGAUCACAAAGGCAUUGUCCACGAUCACAGAGACUUUGUCCAUAAUCUCAGAGACACUGUCCGCGAUCACAGAGACGUAGUCCACGAUCGCAGAGAAUCUUCAUACAAUGAAGAAGUUCUUUGAGACUAGGACAGAGGCCUCCAGGUGUCACCACUUCAUCCAUGACAUUGUCCAUGAUCGAUGAGAUGUUGUCCACUAUCACAGACUGUCUUCAUACAAUGACGUUCUUUGAGACCAGGACAGAAGACUCCAGGAUGAGAAGACAACAGCAGCUGAAGACCCUGACGUGGAUGAAGAAAGUGUUACUAAGCGGUUAAUUAAAGACCUCCACCAUCUAACUGCUGUAAACCGUGUUGGUUUCCUGUUGUUCAAGUGAAAACACUUUUUCUCUACUAUCUGUAAUGUAGUCAUAGGCACAUUUUCAAGGACUAAUAUGUAUAAAACACAAAUGUCUGUCAUUAUCUUUGCAGUGAUUUGUUGU